UACGUAGGGUGCAAGCGUUAAUCGGAAUCACUGGGCGUAAAGGCGUGCGCAGGCGGUUAUGUAAGACAGGUGUGAAAUCCCCGGGCUUAACCUGGGAACUGCAUUUGUGACUGCAUAGCUAGAGUACGGUAGAGGGGGAUGGGAAUUCCGCGUGUAGCAGUGAAAUGCGUAGAUAUGCGGAGGAACACCGAUGGCGAAGGCAAUCCCCUGGACCUGUACUGACGCUCAUGCACGAAAGGCGUGGGGAGCAAACAGG
rnacentral:rRNA from 1 species